rnacentral:lncRNA from 10 species
CACAGAGGGUCUAAGGGUCUAAUUGUACAGAUUUGAAUCCAGGAGGUCUGAGUGCAGCUGGAUAGUCCUUUGCUGGGAUGGGAGGAUCCCCAUUCCCUGGGAACAGCCACACCCAUUCCCAGAACAUCACCACGAUCCCUGCUGCCUUCCCUUGGAGGACAGGAGUUGGUGUGAAGCUUCUCUGAGCCUCAGUUCCCUCAUCUAUGGAAUAGGAGCCAGAGUUCCUCCCUCCAGGGUCAGAAGGCAGCUAGCUGAUAAGGGGAGCAGCACCCACGGUGAGGUCUGACCAACAGCCGCAACCAUAGUGGCGCUUUGCUGAGUCUUCCUUGAGCUCCCUGUGUGCCUAACGCAGAGCUUCUCCCCUCCCCGGGGCUUUGGAAAAUCUGCUCUGAAAUGUCUUGAAUGAAUCACUUACUUCCAACGUUUCCUAAAGAGGCAAUGGGCUCCUGGGCCCUUUCUCACUCGGGAGGGCCUUUCCUCUGCCCCAUCAUUCUGAGGGUUUCUGGAAGGU